CUACAUAUACGCACUUGGAACUGUAACUAACCCUAGUUAAUUAUUUCACCCCAUAGUGUUUGUUAUGACUUAUACAUACAUACAUACAUACAUACAUACAUACAUACAUACAUGCAUAACUAUUGAUAUAUGCACGCUUGAGUAUUAUAUAUCUAAUUUGGGACAUGCACAUAUAUCACUAAUUCAAGAAAUGUAGUUUCCCAGAGAAUGUGCAAUUAUCUCAUGAUAUAUAGUAAUAAUUUUCAUGUGUUUUUGUUAAAGAUGUAUCGCACAAUUAGGACUACAGACAGGCCUGCAAAUUCUUCAGGUAAAAAAUAUUAAUUUCCCUACCUUUAUCUUCUUGUUUUGCACAAAUUAACUUGACUUAUAAAUCUAGUGUAUAUAUAAAUUGUACAUGCUCAUGAGUAUUAUAUAUAUUUAUAUAAAUUAUAUUUUAACAAAAGUAUAUAUCAUUAAGAAAAACAGUAAAACAUGCAUCAGAUUAAUUAAUUAAUUGGUACGUACGUGGUUAAUUAAUAACAUUUAUAGGGAAUCAGUCAGAUGGAUUUGAAAGCGAUUUAGUGGGUGAGAAUUCGGAGGAUCAUCUACAGAACUUAUCAGGUGAAGCAGCAGCUGGGACAUCAGCAGUUAAAGGAGGAAUGCCAAUGAGCUUAGAACAUGAAGAUCAGGAUUAUUAUGGUCUCUGGAGCAAUUCAUCAAGGUGAAAUUUUCUUUUUCAUUGUUAUGUAUUGUUAUUAUUAUUAUUGUUGUUGUUGGUAACCGAGGAAAUUGGGGAAACUAUAUUUUGGGUCUAUGAUGAUUUGACAUAUAAAAGUCUACAUGAGACAAAGUUCAUAGCUCCCCCCUCCCCCCCCUUUCUGUUCUGUUUUCUCUGGUAUUGAAAAAAGUCAGUGUUCUUUUAAAAGAAAUAAUUAACCUAACAUAAGAGAAAUAUGGUAUAUAUAUUUAAAAAGUAAUACAAAUUGUAUACAAAAAGUUGGUACAAAAAAAAAAAGAGAAGUCAAAGAACUACAUAUAUAUAUAUAUAUAUAUAUAUAUAUAUAUAUAUAUAUAUGUAUUGCAUUACAAUAUAUACUAUAUAUACAAAUCAGUAUUGCAUUACAAUAUAUAUAUACUAUAUAUAUAUAUAUAUAUAUAUAUAAUGCUGUUUCCGUUAUUUAAGUCAAAGAACUUUAUAUUAUAAUGAAAUAUAUAGCUGUCUGCAUGUUUGUCUAUAAUAAUUAGCGCAUUAAUCGAAAAUAUUUUUUUAUGGAAAUUAUUGAAAUGCAAUAGGUAGGUAUAUGUAUGUUUAAUUUCUCAAUAAAAGUUUGAAAAGAAUUGAAGAAUUAAAAUUUGACCUAACUUUUUUAGUCACGUAUGUACGUAGCAUGGGACAGCAAAUGUUAACGAAACAUGAACGUAGUUUGGUUAUAAAAAGAAGAUAAAUUGAUACUUCAACCAGCUUUUCUGCUGUUAAAAGAAGAUCAGGUGACAGACACCAUUACUGGGAAUUAAAUAUUUGAAAAACCUUUUUUCUUUUUGAAGACUGUACUGUACGUACAUGCAGUCUUAAAGGUUUUAAGUAAUAUAUAGAAAGUUUGUAAAACUUUUUUUCAUUAGAGUGAUUUGGUUUAGAGAGAAAAGAUGAUCAUAACAGUGAUUUUUCUCAUGUUUGGAUAGUUUAGUGAGGAGAAACUUAAUAGUAGGAGAAAGUUAAUUUUGGUAUAUUGAUAUACAGUGUUGACACGCAUACAGGUCAAUCGAGAGAUAAUCUCUAUCUGCGUGUUAUUAUUGUAUUGGUCAAUUGACCAACUUAUCAUAAAAUUAAUUUCAUAGUAAUCGAAUUCACAUAUCACCCUAAAUUGAUAAAUUUCAAAGUUAUCGUUUUGUAUUUUAGUCUCUCUCUUUUUCAAGAGAGAGCAUGCAAUAUAUAUAAGUUAACCCUUAUUUUCUGUUCUUUCUUAACUCAAGAUUUAUAUAAGGCGCUUUCCAUGUUUUAGGGGUAACGUAGGGUACAUACAUACAUACAUACAUACAUACAUACAUACAUGCAUAACUAUUGAUAUAUGCACGCUUGAGUAUUAUAUAUCUAAUUUGGGACAUGCACAUAUAUCACUAAUUCAAGAAAUGUAGUUUCCCAGAGAAUGUGCAAUUAUCUCAUGAUAUAUAGUAAUAAUUUUCAUGUGUUUUUGUUAAAG
rnacentral:lncRNA from 1 species